rnacentral:tRNA from 1 species
UGGCUCAGAGGUUAAGAGCACUGACUGCUGUUACAGAGGUUCUGAGUUCAAUUCUCAG